rnacentral:rRNA from 1 species
AUGAACGCUGGCGGCUUCCCUAAACAAUCAAAGUCGGGGGAACAGACGAGUACCUUCCUCCUCUACCGUAGCGGCCGACCGGUGGGGAAAACCUUGAUAACCUUACCUUUAAGAUUGGAUAAACUCGGGAAAACGGGACUAAUAACCGGAAAUAUAUUUAAACCCAUUGUUUCAUUAGUAAAAAACGGUUUGGUUGUACUUAUUAGUUGAAUCCGCGCCCCAUUAGCUAGUUGGUAAGGUAACGGCUUACCAAGGCGACGAUGCGUAGCCGACCUGAGAGGGUGAUCGGCCACACUGGAACUGAGACACGGUCCAGACUCCUACGGGAGGCAGCAGUAGGGAAUCUUCCGCAAUGGGCGAAAGCCUGACGGAGCAACGCCGCGUGAGUGAUGAAGGUCUUCGGAUCGUAAAACUCUGUUAUUAGGGAAGAACAAAUGUGUAAGUAACUAUGCACGUCUUGACGGUACCUAAUCAGAAAGCCACGGCUAACUACGUG